AUUGAACGCUGGCGGCAUGCCUUACACAUGCAAGUCGAACGGCAGCACGGGAGCAAUCCUGGUGGCGAGUGGCGAACGGGUGAGUAAUAUAUCGGAACGUGCCCGGUCGUGGGGAUAACGUAGCGAAAGCUACGCUAAUACCGCAUACGAUCUACGGAUGAAAGCGGGGGAUCGCAAGACCUCGCGCGAUUGGAGCGGCCGAUAUCAGAUUAGGUAGUUGGUGAGGUAAAGGCUCACCAAGCCGACGAUCUGUAUCUGGUCUGAGAGGACGACCAGCCACACUGGGACUGAGACACGGCCCAGACUCCUACGGGAGGCAGCAGUGGGGAAUUUUGGACAAUGGGCGCAAGCCUGAUCCAGCAAUGCCGCGUGCAGGAUGAAGGCC
rnacentral:rRNA from 1 species